rnacentral:misc_RNA from 1 species
AAGUCGUAACAAGGUAACCGUAGGUGAACCUGCGGUUGGAUCAUUACCGAUUGCUUUCACUCUCGCCUCUGCAAUAGUGGGGCUCGAGAGUGACUGUAUCUACCUUUUGUGAACUGUCCUGUCUCUGGCGGCGGGGCUGGUUUGCCGUAGUCUAUUUAUUUAGCUAUGGUGCCACUAGCCUGUCAGCGUGGUUUGCUCCCUGCUUUGGGGGGGCUGGCUGAGCCGUGGACAAACCGCCAAUGGCUUUCUGCCAAACUGCUUAACCUAAUGUUUAUGCAAUUUUGCGUCUGAAGUAAACCAUGUAUAGUAAUAUACAAACAACUUUUGGCAACGGAUCUCUUGGCUCUC